rnacentral:rRNA from 1 species
GCGCACUUGUAGUGUGAAUUGGUCCCUUCAUGGGCUCAUUGUGCAGGAGGCGGCAACGCAAAAUACCUCGGCAUAACCUUCGGCGAGAGGAUGUGUUUCACUCCUCAUAUCGCUGGUCUCAAGGCCCGGCUAUUUGGUUUGGUGGGGCAAGUGCGUCGUAUUUUGAGGUCUGACUGGGGCCUAAACAGACGUGCUGUCCGCACCAUCUAUGAGGGUCUGUUUGCUGCAUGUGCAGCAUAUGGAUCGUCUGUAUGGUGCAAAGCGGUCACGACUGUGGUUGGCAGAAAGAAAGUGCUGGCUUGCCAGAGAGUGCUUCUGUUAGGUUGUUUGCCUGUGUGCCGCACUGUCUCUACGGAGGCAAUGCAGGUACUGUUAGGAGUAGCCCCUCUUGACUUGGAGAUCAGGCGUCGAACCUUGAUGUAUAGGAUCAAUAGGCGGCUGCCAUUGCUGCAGAAUGAUUGGCUAGCAGAUAAGGAUGUGGAGAGUUUAGGGCUUAGUGAAUGCAAGAGAUUGGUGAAAGAGUGUGUUCUGUCUGACUGGCAAGUCAGAUGGGACACAAGCGUGAAUGGGCGUGUCACUCAUCGGUUUAUACGGGAAGUUACAUUUGCCGGCACCCGACCAGACUUUGGGUUCGGCCUAAGUCUUGGAUUCCUGUUGACUGGUCACGGUUCCCUCAAUGCAUUCUUGCAUUCGAGGAGCCUUUAUGACAGUCCAGAAUGCCGUUGUGGCUCGGCUGCUGAGACAUGGGAGCAUGUUCUCUGUUAGUGCGCAAGGUAUGCAGAUCUUCGAGAUCUGAGGGGGAUGGGUAUAAGUGAGGUUAGUGGCGGGUUUGACGUAAGUCAAUCACUCUCCACUAGUGAUAGGGUUAGAAGAAUGAGUGAGUUUGCGAGAGCUGUAUUUUCCAGGCGACGUUUGCAAUUGCAGGAAGGAAUUGUAUGAAUGAAGAUGGAUGGUAGAUGUACGAAUGUGGGGGUACGAAUGGUGGGGUACGAACGUGGGGGUGUGUCUGAAUGGGCAUUUUGUUGAACAUUGUGUUGUCCGGGGCUACCAGUCCCCAGCAUCAUGGAGCUAAAACUGGAAGUGUCCUUUCAGGAUACGAGUUCUGACCAGAGGAUUGAUCUGGGACCACGGGCGUUAGGGAACACAGAGGCGGUCUCGGCUCUCUGCUCUCUCCGCCAUAGUCUUUUGGGACUUGUUGGGGACACUAGCUGGCCGCCUAGCGGUUUGAUCUAUGAUCAACUUGAAAAUGCCGUCGCUUACGGAAGAGGCAGGAAUAAGCCUCCCUCCCCACAGUGAGAAAGCCAUGCCAUGAACAUGGUGUAUACUGUUCCACCUGUCAAUUGCUGUUUUACAUCAAUUGCGUUCUAUUCCCUGCAGCAGUGUUUUAUCGUUUCUGGGGCCACCAACCCUUAACUAUUUUGGAGUUUAAAUUGGAAGUGCCCUUCUGGUACGAGGCCUGACCAGAGGUCUUUAAUUUGGUACCACGGGUAACCAGGAGCCCACGGAACUUGUUCCGUCCUGGUUAGUUGGUGCGGCCCUUCGGGGAGUAUCGUGGUGGUUGUGGUUUAACACCCAAAUGCGGGUAGAGCUUGCUCGAUGUGGAGUUGCGUCAUACAACCGGGUUCCGUAAUCCAGAUUUCGGAAGAGGCUUAGAUAGUCCUCGUGCCAAACCAAGGUAGAAGUCACAACCAAACAGUCGGGGCGGUGAUUGACGCUUGAAUUAAUCCUAUACUAGGAACCGUGAGAUUAAGCCAUCGUGGCAGGUGCUCACGUUAAACCCACUGACUUUCAUGUCCCUAUCUACUAUCUAGCGAAACCACAGCCAAGGGAACGGGCUUGGAAUAAUUAGCGGGGAAAGAAGACCCUUUUGAGCUUGACUCUAAUCUGGCAGUGUAAGGAGACAUAAGAGGUGUAGAAUAAGUGGGAGAUAUUAGACUUCGGUUUGGUAUCGACAAUGAAAUACCACUACUCUUAUUGUUUCCUUACUUACUUGAUUAAAUGGAACGUGUAUCAUUUCCUAGCCAUUAUACGGAUAUAAUUAUUAUGUCUUAUGGUAUUGGGUUUUGAUGCAAGCUUCUUGAUCAAAGUAUCACGAGUUUGUUAUAUAAUCGCAAACAAAUUCUUUAACGAGAGAAUGCAUUUAUGUAUUAUUGAUUUAAAAAUUUGGUAUAACUCCAAUUACUCAGGUAUGAUCCAAUUCAAGGACAUUGCCAGGUAGGGAGUUCGACUGGGGCGGUACAUCUCUCAAAUAAUAACGGAGGUGUCCCAAGGCCAGCUCAGUGCGGACAGAAACCACACAUAGAGCAAAAGGGCAAAUGCUGACUUGAUCUCGGUGUUCAGUACACACAGGGACAGCAAAAGCUCGGCCUAUCGAUCCUUUUGGUUUAAAGAGUUUUUAACAAGAGGUGAUCCUUCGAUGUCGGCUCUUCCUAUCAUUGUGAAGCAAAAUUCACCAAGCGUUGGAUUGUUCACCCAUGCAAGGGAACGUGAGCUGGGUUUAGACCGUCGUGAGACAGGUUAGUUUUACCCUACUAAUGACAAAACGUUGUUGCGACAGCAUUCCUGCGUAGUACGAGAGGAACCGCAGGUACGGACCAAUGGCACAAUACUUGUUCGAGCGAAUAGUGGUAUGACGCUACGUCCGUUGGAUUAUGCCUGAACGCCUCUAAGGUCGUAUCCGUGCUGGACUGCAAUGAUAAAUAAGGGGCAAUUUGCAUUGUAUGGCUUCUAAACCAUUAAAAGUUUUUAAUUUAUUUUAUUAACGACAAUGGAUGUGAUGCCAAUGUUAUUUAUAACAUAGUAAAUUGGGAUCUUCGAUCACCUGAUGCCGCGCUAGUUAUAUUUUAAAACAUUAUUU